rnacentral:lncRNA from 1 species
AGGGCUGUUUCACCUUGGGAGACACGCCAUGGAAUGAUGAAUACAAUAUGAAUAAUCCACCAGACGCUGGGGCACCAUGCUGUUGGAUUUCCCAACAUUCAGAACUGAGAGACUCGUUUUGCUUAUGGGCUAAGGGAAAACUUCCCAUGGAGAGAAAGGGAUUGAAGAUACAGAAAAAAGAGAAUCAUUAAUGGAGGAAGUUUCCAGAAAAGCCUGAAGAUCUUGUAAAUCUAUACCCUAAGUGAAAGGAUUCGCUUUGGAGGGAAGCAACGUCAUUUUCAUCCUUGGAUAUCUAAUGGGUGGAGAUUACUCAAAAAAAUGGCUCUGAAAUAGAUCGUUUUCAACAAUGGCCACAACAAUUUCUAUCAUCAUCGUUGGUGCAUUCCUUUGCAAUGUGACUCUAUUGCCUUUGCCAUUCAGAAGCAGAGUUGUUUUCUUUUUUUCCCCCUCUUCAAUUUGGUCUGAACUUGUAACUUGUUUUGAUGAAUAGAACUCUACAGAUAUGGUAUGACUUCUUUUGAUUUUUUAUUUUUUUUGAGAUGGAGUCUCACUCUGGUCCAGACUGGAGUGCAGUGGCACGAUCUCGGCUCACUGCAAUCUCUGCCUCCCAGGUUCAAGUGAUUCUUCUGCCUCAGCCUGUAGCUGGGACUACAGGCACGCACCACCACGCCCGGAUAAUUUUUGUAUUUUCAGUAGAGACGGGGUUUCACCAUGUUGGUCAGGCUGGUCUCGAACUCCUGACCUCAUGAUCCACCCACCUCGGCCUCCCAAAGUGCUGGGAUUACAAGUGUGAGCCACCAUGCCUGGCCAGAUAUGGUGUGACUUCUGAGCCUCAGCCUCAUGAAGCCUUGUAGCUUCUGCUCUCACUGCCUUGCUGCCCUGGUCCUGCUAUGUGUAGAAGCCAAGCCUAGUCUUGAGGAUGGGAAAUGAUGUGGGGUGAGAGGCCCCACCCAUGGCCAGCACCAACAUCACACAUGUGAGCAAGGCCAUCUUGGAUCAUCUCAUACCAGUCAAGCUUCUUGAUGGCUGCCAGUACAUGAAGAAUCCCAGAUGAAAAAACUGGGAAUCAGAGAAGUUAAGAAAUAAGCUCAAGAUCACCUAUAUAGUAAACGGCAAAAUCAGGAUCUGAACCUGCUGAUUCCAGAGCUCAUGGAGAGUUCCAGUGGGCAACUUGGGAAAAGGAGGAAGCAUGAGAGAGGAGAUGAUCAGCUUGCUACACUAAAAGCCGCUUCAGCAAACUGCUGUGUACUCUACUGGAUAUUAACAGAUAGAGAGGUAUAUGGAGACAACCUUUUGAAUGAGGGUUUUAUGAUCUGCUUGGAAGUGAAGGAUGAGGGGAAGAAUGAAGCCCUUGCUUCAGGGUUCACUUUUUGUGAACACAGACUACAGAAGUUGACACGCGGAAGUGAACCUGGAAAUAAACCUUCAGGAUCAGAUGUUGG